rnacentral:rRNA from 1 species
UACGAAGGGUGCAAGCGUUAAUCGGAAUUACUGGGCGUAAAGCGCGCGCAGGCGGUUAUAUAAGACAGAUGUGAAAUCCCCGGGCUCAACCUGGGAACUGCAUUUGUGACUGUAUAGCUAGAGUACGGCAGAGGGGGAUGGAAUUCCGCGUGUAGCAGUGAAAUGCGUAGAUAUGCGGAGGAACACCAAUGGCGAAGGCAAUCCCCUGGGCCUGUACUGACGCUCAUGCACGAAAGCGUGGGGAGCAAACAGG